rnacentral:rRNA from 1 species
GCAAGUCGAACGGAGAACAUGAGCUUGCUUAAUGUUCUUAGUGGCGGACGGGUGAGUAACACGUGAGUAACCUGCCUCUGAGAGUGGGAUAGCUUCUGGAAACGGAUGGUAAUACCGCAUAACAUCAUGGAUUCGCAUGUUUCUAUGAUCAAAGAUUUAUCGCUUAGAGAUGGACUCGCGUCUGAUUAGCUAGUUGGUAAGGUAACGGCUUACCAAGGCGACGAUCAGUAGCCGGACUGAGAGGUUGAUCGGCCACAUUGGGACUGAGACACGGCCCAGACUCCUACGGGAGGCAGCAGUGGGGAAUAUUGCACAAUGGGGGAAACCCUGAUGCAGCGAUGCCGCGUGGAGGAAGAAGGUUUUCGGAUUGUAAACUCCUGUUGAAGAGGACGAUAAUGACGGUACUCUUUUAGAAAGCUCCGGCUAACUACGUGCCAGCAGCCGCGGUAAUACGUAGGGAGCGAGCGUUGUCCGGAAUUACUGGGUGUAAAGGGAGCGUAGGCGGGAUGGCAAGUCAGAUGUGAAAACUAUGGGCUCAACCCAUAGACUGCAUUUGAAACUGUUGUUCUUGAGUGAGGUAGAGGUAAGCGGAAUUCCUGGUGUAGCGGUGAAAUGCGUAGAGAUCAGGAGGAACAUCGGUGGCGAAGGCGGCUUACUGGGCC